rnacentral:rRNA from 1 species
AGAACGAACGCUGGCGGCAGGCUUAACACAUGCAAGUCGAACGGGCCCUUCGGGGUCAGUGGCAGACGGGUGAGUAACACGUGGGAACGUACCUUUCAGUUCGGAAUAACCCAGGGAAACUUGGGCUAAGACCGGAUACGCCCUUUUGGGGAAAGAUUUAUCGCUGAGAGAUCGGCCCGCGUCUGAUUAGCUAGUUGGUGAGGUAAAGGCUCACCAAGGCGACGAUCAGUAGCUGGUCUGAGAGGAUGAUCAGCCACAUUGGGACUGAGACACGGCCCAAACUCCUACGGGAGGCAGCAGUGGGGAAUAUUGGACAAGUGGGACGCAAGCCUGAUCCAGCCAUGCCGCGUAGAGUGAUGGAAGGCCUUAGGGUUAGUAAAGCUUACGUUUCGCCGGGACGAGUAAUGGAACGGUAACCGGAAAGUAACGAACG